GGGGAAUAUUGCACAAUGGACGAAAGUCUGAUGCAGCAACGCCGCGUGGAGGAUGACACAUUUCGGUGCGUAAACUCCUUUUAUAUGAGAAGAUAAUGACGGUAUUAUAUGAAUAAGCACCGGCUAACUCCGUGCCAGCAGCCGCGGUAAUACGGGGGGUGCAAGCGUUACUCGGAAUCACUGGGCGUAAAGAGCAUGUAGGCGGAUUAAUAAGUUUGAAGUGAAAUCCUAUAGCUUAACUAUAGAACUGCUUUGAAAACUGUUAAUCUAGAAUGUGGGAGAGGUAGAUGGAAUUUCUGGUGUAGGGGUAAAAUCCGUAGAGAUCAGAAGGAAUACCGAUUGCGAAGGCGAUCUACUGGAACAUUAUUGACGCUGAGAUGCGAAAGCGUGGGGAGCAAAC
rnacentral:rRNA from 1 species